rnacentral:tRNA from 2 species
GGAGAGGUGCCAGAGUGGCCGAUCGGGACAGACUCGAAAUCUGUUGUACACUAUGUGUACCGUGGGUUCGAAUCCCACCCUCUCCG